rnacentral:lncRNA from 1 species
GCUUUAUUGAUGAAAGUAGGGUUCUGUCACGCCUUUGUCUCGUCGUAGAACACAAACGAAGAGCGCGAAGUUGCAGCUAUGGCGAACUCAUAGUCUAAACAAAACCCAAGUCUAAACAACACCCUAAGGGUUGUAUAUAUGGGGGGUUAGAGGAGGAAUUUCGUGACCCCUUGGAGGAGGAGUCCGAAACCAACCCUAACUCAGUAUCCCCACACAUACAAACUCUAAAAAUAGCCUAUAAUAUGGUAUUUCAAAAUUACAUGGGCCUGGCCCAAAAAUAAGGUGGCACAACACCUAUAAUAGCCUAUGGAAGAAAU